GUUGGAGUUUGUGAUCUUCAGGAAGGACCCUCUGAAAAUGCUAAUUCUUUUGCCUCUUAGUCGACCACUGUCAUGGAAGAAGAUUGUUUCUUUUGGAUUCCAUUCCACCAGGAGAUUUCAACCUUUCUCCUACCUCCCCCAUCUGAGUCUGAGCUUUUCCUGGCUGUAAUUCUCUGGUGGCAGCACCUGGUCUUCAGCUGUGAGCCAGAGCUGGAGCUCAGCAGUUGUGUCUGCACCGACCAACACUGGGACACUGCAGAAACUGUUGUGUUAUUCCAGCUGAUCCCCCAGGAAGGUGCUAAGCCAUGAAGAUGGGCUCCCUGAAC